UAAGGAGUAUUGCGCAAUGGGCGAAAGCCUGACGCAGCAACGCCGCGUGAAGGAUGAAAUCUUUCGGGAUGUAAACUUCGCAAGUGUGGGAAGAAACAAAUGACGGUACCACAAGUAAGCCCCGGCUAACUUCGUGCCAGCAGCCGCGGUAAUACGAAGGUGGCAAGCGUUAUUCGGAUUUACUGGGCGUACAGGGAGCGUAGGCGGUUCGGUAAGCCCUUUGUGAAAUCUCCAGGCUUAACCUGGAACAGUCGGAGGGGACUGCCGGGCUAGAGGACGGGAGAGGAGCGCGGAAUUCCCGGUGUAGCGGUGAAAUGCGUAGAGAUCGGGAGGAAGGCCGGUGGCGAAGGCGGCGCUCUGGAACGUUUCUGACGCUGAGGCUCGAAAGCGUGGGGAGCAAACAGGAUUAGAUACCCCUGUAGUCCCUGAGCGGGCUGGCAAGGCGCAU
rnacentral:rRNA from 1 species